rnacentral:rRNA from 1 species
AACGAACGCUGGCGGCAUGCCUAACACAUGCAAGUCGAACGAACCCUUCGGGGUUAGUGGCGCACGGGUGCGUAACGCGUGGGAAUCUGCCCUUUGCUUCGGAAUAACAGUUAGAAAUGACUGCUAAUACCGGAUGAUGCCUUCGGACCAAAGAUUUAUCGGCAAGGGAUGAGCCCGCGUAGGAUUAGGUAGUUGGUGGGGUAAAGGCCUACCAAGCCGACGAUCCUUAGCUGGUCUGAGAGGAUGAUCAGCCACACUGGGACUGAGACACGGCCCAGACUCCUACGGGAGGAAGCAGUGGGGAAUAUUGGACAAUGGGCGCAGGCUUGAUCCAGCAAUGCCGCGUGAGUGAUGAAGGCCUUCGGGUCGUAAAGCUCUUUUACCCGGGAUGAUAAUGACAGUACCGGGAGAAUAAGCUCCGGCUAACUUCGUGCCAGCCGCCGCCGUAAAAC